rnacentral:rRNA from 1 species
UGAUCCUGGCUCAGAUUGAACGCUGGCGGCAGGCCUAACACAUGCAAGUCGAACGGUAGCAUAUCUUGCUUGCAAGAUGAUGACGAGUGGCGGACGGGUGAGUAAUACUUAGGAACAUGCCUUUGAGUGGGGGAUAACUAUUGGAAACGAUAGCUAAUACCGCAUAAUGUCUACGGACCAAAGGGGGCUUCGGCUCUCGCUCAGAGAGUGGCCUAAGCGAGAUUAGCUAGUUGGUGAGGUAAAGGCUCACCAAGGCGACGAUCUCUAGCUGUUCUGAGAGGAAGAUCAGCCACACUGGGACUGAGACACGGCCCAGACUCCUACGGGAGGCAGCAGUGGGGAAUAUUGCACAAUGGGGGGAACCCUGGUGCAGCCAUGCCGCGUGUGUGAAGAAGGCCUUCGGGUUGUAAAGCACUUUCAGUUGUGAGGAAAGGUUAGUAGUUAAUACCUGCUAGCUGUGACGUUAGCAACAGAAGAAGCACCGGCUAACUCCGUGCCAGCAGCCGCGGUAAUACGGAGGGUGCGAGCGUUAAUCGGAAUUACUGGGCGUAAAGCGCACGCAGGUGGUUUGUUAAGCUAGAUGUGAAAGCCCAGGGCUCAACCUUGGAAUAGCAUUUAGAACUGGCAGGCUAGAGUCUUGGAGAGGGGAGUGGAAUUCCAGGUGUAGCGGUGAAAUGCGUAGAGAUCUGGAGGAACAUCAGUGGCGAAGGCGACUCCCUGGCCAAAGACUGACACUCAUGUGCGAAAGUGUGGGUAGCGAACAGGAUUAGAUACCCUGGUAGU